CAAACUGCUCAGUAACACGUAGCUAACCUACCCUCGGGACGGGAACAACCUCGGGAAACUGAGGUUAAUUCUCGAUAGGUGUGGAUUCCUGGAAUGGUGCCACGCCCAAAUGUUAACACACCAUGUUUGUGUACACGCCCAAGGAUGGGGCUGCGGCCGAUCAGGCUGUUGGUGAGGUAACGGCUCACCAAACCUUUGACCGGUACGGGCCGUGAGAGCGGUAGCCCGGAGAUGGACACUGAGACAAGGGUCCAGGACCUACGGGUCGCAGCCGGUACGAAACCUCCACAAUGCACGCAAGUGCGAUGGGGUUACCUCGAGUGCCGUCUGAAGAAGGCGGCUUUUCCAUUGUGUAAUGAGCCGUGGGAAUAAGGGGGGGGCAAGACUGGUGUCAGCCGCCGCGGUAACACCAGCCCCCCGAGUGGUGGGGAUGUUUAUUUGGCCUAAAGCGUCCGUAGCCGGCUAGAUAAAUCUCUCGUUAAAUCCAGCGUCCUAAGCGUUGGGCUGCGAGAGAGACUGUAGAGCUAGAGGGUGGGAGAGGUAAGCGGUAUUUCUGGGGUAGGGGCGAAAUCCUUUGAUCCCAGGAGGACCACCAGUGGCGAAGGCUGCUUACUAGAACACGCCUGACGGUGAGGGACGAAAGCUGGGGUAGCGAAUCGGAUUAGAUACCCGAGUAGUCCCAGCUGUAAACGAUGCAGGCUAGGUGUUGGGUUGGCCACGCGCUA
rnacentral:rRNA from 1 species